rnacentral:sRNA from 1 species
GGGAACAUAUGGAUGGCCCUGAUGAGGUUAUUUUGAUUGCAAGCAAGAGAUAGGGUCUAGGAAGCAUUCUUCCUCCCUCUCCACCUGUUUCCAUUGAGAUUGCUUAUCAGAAGUCAACAUCCGUGGAGACAUUCGGGCUUGUUGUUCUUCAGAGGAUCUACCGAACAGAAAGGGACAAAGGGACAUUGUAUGAGCUCACCUUCAAAGGGGACCACAAACACGAAUUCAAACGGCUCGUCUUAUUUCGACCAUUCGGCCCCAUCAUGAAAGUGAAAAAUGAAAAGCUCAACAUGGCCAACACGCUUAUCAAUGUUAUCGUGCCUCUAGCAAAAAGGGUGGACAAGUUCCGGCAGUUCAUGCAGAAUUUCAGGCGUGCUGAUGAAGUUUUUAGAUGUGUGCCUUUAAGCCCUUGAUUGUGCGGUGUUGGAUCUUAGAAGCUGUGAUGGCUCAGAUGCACAUAUUGGCUGAGGAUAACCAGCUAAGUGAUUUCACCAGCUUGUUUUAAACAUAGAAAAUCCUACUGUCUAAUUAUAAGUCUUGAAAGAUCAAGCUGAUUUUUUAUUUCUUUUUUUUUGAGAUGGAGUCUUAGUCUGUCACCCAGGCUGGAGUGCAGUGGCAUGAACUCUGCUCACUGCAACCUCCACCUCCCAGGUUCAGGGAGAUGUGCAUUGAGCAGGAUGGGAGAGUCCAUCUCACUGUUGUUUACUUUGGGAAAGAAGAAAUAAAUGAAGUCAAAGGAAUACUUGAAAACACUUCCAAAGCUGCCAACUUCAGGAACUUUACCUUCAUCCAGCUGAAUGGAGAAUUUUCUCGGGGAAAGGGACUUGAUGUUGGAGCCCGCUUCUGGAAGGGAAGCAACGUCCUUCUCUUUUUCUGUGAUGUGGACAUCUACUUC